CACAGGUGCUGCAUGGCCGUCGUCAGCUCGUGCCGUGAGGUGUUGGGUUAAGUCCCGCAACGAGCGCAACCCCCGCCGUUAGUUGCCAGCGGUUCGGCCGGGCACUCUAACGGGACUGCCCGCGAAAGCGGGAGGAAGGAGGGGACGACGUCUGGUCAGCAUGGCCCUUACGGCCUGGGCGACACACGUGCUACAAUGCCCACUACAAAGCGAUGCCACCCGGCAACGGGGAGCUAAUCGCAAAAAGGUGGGCCCAGUUCGGAUUGGGGUCUGCAACCCGACCCCAUGAAGCCGGAAUCGCUAGUAAUCGCGGAUCAGCCAUGCCGCGGUGAAUACGUUCCCGGGCCUU
rnacentral:rRNA from 1 species